rnacentral:rRNA from 1 species
UGAAACUGGGAGUCUUGAGGGCAGGAGAGGAAAGUGGAAUUCCUGGUGUAGCGGUGAAAUGCGUAGAAAUCAGGAGGAACACCGGUGGCGAAGGCGACUUCCUGGACUGACCCUGACGCUG